rnacentral:rRNA from 1 species
UACGUAGGGUGCGAGCGUUAAUCGGAAUUACUGGGCGUAAAGAGUGCGCAGGUGGUGUUAUAAGUAUGAUGUGAAAUGCCUAGGCUUAACCAAGGAAUUGCAUCAUAUACUGUAAUGCUAGAGUUUUGUAGAGGAUAGCGGAAUUCCCGGUGUAGCGGUGAAAUGCGUAGAUAUCGGGAGGAACAUCAGUUGCGAAGGCGGCUAUCUGGACGAAAACUGACACUGAGGCACGAAAGCGUGGGUAGCAAACAGG